UCUUCACCAGGGAGAGCGAAAAAAUCCGACACUCUAAGGUUAGUAAGGUACUCUGGCACAGAUUCGGUGUCUCCCGUAGGUGGACUGGCUCAUUUCGUUUUUCUUCAAAAUAGCCUGAAAUCUUUUCUCCCGCGAUGUCUAAGUCCUAGUUAUUUUUAACAAGAAUAAAGUACUAGAAUAGUUUUUUUUUGUUCUUUAUGUAGAUUGGUUUGGUAGGGGUCAAUAAUUAUUUCAUAAUGGAGUCACUAGCUAUACUUGUUAAUAAAGCACAUAUAAUGAAUAUUUAGUAUUUAUGGAGUCCCCUAUGAGUCACUCGUACCUCCGGCACUUAUUUAUGUUCCGUUCCGUUGACCGUGAGACACAUCCGUUGGCCUUUGUGCCUCAAUUCUAUCUAGAUCUGUUCCAGAACCAUCCAUCUCAAACCUAAAAUCAUCACAAAAAUUGUUUGAAAACACAGAUUUAAGUUACUGAAAUAUAACGUAAUGUCUUGCUUUAUUCAAUACUCAAUAGAGUAGAAGAGUAUUUAUACACAUACAGAUUGCCUAGUCUUGAUAGAAUCGUAUCUAAGUAACUAUAUUGAUAUAUAUCCUAAUCUAUGUAUACAUUUUUGGAUCAUAAUUAGCAAAUAAAUCCUGAAGUUGAGAAGUAUUUACAAUGACAUGCCACUAGCAUUAAUUAUUUAGAUUUAUUUUAUUUAAGUAAAGAUUUUUAAUUGAAAUUCAUUUCUCAUAUAUUUAGCAAAAGUCUCUGUGGAUGUCGGAUUCACACACUCAAGUAUUUUGUUAAGUGGGAAAGAUUAUUUUUGAGGGACAAAAAUGAAUAUGUAAAAACUUAUAAAUUGAUACGAAAAUUGCUAUAGUAUUUCUCUCUUGAGAGGAAGAUCCCCCUUACAUGACCAUUGGCCUCUAUAUUUAUACAUAGAUAAACGAUAUUAAAAUGAGUAAUUAAGUACAAUUAUUCCUUCUUAAAUGUGUCCGUUUUGAUUCUUCGACUUUAAUGCUCAACGUUUGAAUUUGAGUUGACUCUGAUCUUCAUGGGCCUCGCCUCUUUUGGCCCAAGUGUCCUUGAACCGACUUACCCGUGUCUUCUACACCGAACUCGUGUCACAGUGCAGUCACUUCGGAUUCUCGAAAUGGUGACAACCACUUCGACCGUCCCUUCGGCUCACGGGUCCAAUGGGCUUCAUCUUUUAUGGGCCAUUAUCUUGAUUACGUGGCAAUCUUUGGUUGGUCUCGUACUUCUGGUGCGGGAUCCGACACCAACAAUUAGCCCCCCAAGUUCUUCGAAGUGUUAUUCCAAUUCGGAGGACUUUAAAUGCUCAAGUGGCCAAAGAUUGCGCUCGAGAAUCUUUCUGAUUUCCCGCCGAAAAUCUCAUCACUCCUUUAAUUUCGGCACUAGCCAUUUUUAACCGAGUGACAUCUGUCAUCAUUAUGACCGUAUAUUGAUUAAUUACUAUUAAAACGGGAAAAACCUUCCCACUUCCCACACGACUUCCGAGGCGGUUUCAUCAUUAGCUUGAGGUAACUUCUUUUCACCAUUACUCUCUUCUUUUUACUUUUGUACUUUAAUCAAAAACUCUCUCUUUUCUUCUUCACGAAAAACCUCUUUUCGCCGGAUCUUGAAAUUUUCAUUUUUAUUCGAUGACUUCUGAUUCUGAAAAACCUGAAUCUCCGUCUUACGACGAAAGGCGUUCUAGUAAUGACGAAUGCACUCGUCCUAACGACAUCGCCGGUCCUCAUUACAAAUCCACCUGUACUCUUCAAUCCCUUGAGCGAUUGAAGGGGCUUUGUCAAAUUCCUCCUGGAAUUAUAGCGGAGGCGCAAAUAGCCGACCCUACGGAAUCUCCUGAGAACCACCGUGCCGGCUACUUUUGUGUUUACGAAAUUUACUUCAAGGGCUGCGGAUUGACCUUCCCCCUUCCCGAAGCCCUAGUUCGAUUCUUGGCGGCUCUCGAGAUCGCUUUGCCUCAAUUAACCCCCAAUCUCCUCCGAACCAUCCUCGGGAUUAUAACUGUUGCGGCGGAGGCUGGCUACGUCAUUGGAGUCCCCGAGCUGAAUGAACUCCUAAGCGUAAGGAGUUCAUCAAAGAAAACUGGGUACUUCUCGGCGUAUCCAAAUGCCAAUAGAAACGUCAUCUCGCACCUCCCGAACAAGGAUGAGUACUGGCACCAUCCUUGGUUUCUGAUUAAGAAAAAUCCUACUUCGAUUGGGAAUCUUUCCGAUGUACUCCCAUCGAAGUGGUCUGCGAAACCUGGUAGAGACUAGGUCGUAUAUUCCUUUAUUGUUUAUUAUUAUCUUUUACUGACCGAAUUUGUUGUUUCAUUUCGCAGCUUUUAUCGCUUCAACUCUCCCGACUGAAGAAUUUGUCAAGUUCUUCAAAACAAUCCUUGAAGGAGAAACCCUUUGGAAUUCUUUUUCCCUCGACCGAUUUGUCGAGGCCAACCGGAAACUCAGGAUGAGUCCUCCCAAUCUACUUCAUCGUCUUCCGCCUCCUCCCUCAACUCAGGGAAUGUCAGCUCGGGCCCUCGCUGCCCAGCGUAAGAAGCUCUCCAAGCCGAUAGCAGAGGCUUGUGAUGAAAACAAGGCGUUCCUUGCGACCGCCAUCGACAAAAAAGAUUACAGCAGGACCCUGCUGGUUGAUGACAACAGCUCCGAGGGAGCCAGAUCCGUUGCUGCUUAUAGGUUAACACCUCGCCGCAAACGCCGCGACGAGCGUUCUCCUCGGAGAGAGCGGUCUCCUCGUCGUGAUUCUCCUCGUCCUCCCCGAGACGAUUUCAGCAACGAAACUCUUAAGAAUUUGGUUCGUAAGAAGAGGGACAAGUCGUCCCGUGAUGACUCGUCUCCGCGAAGGGAGAAAUCAAGGGCCCGGACUGACCGUUCACCUCGAUCAUCCCCUUCUGCUGAACCAAUGGGUCCUCCCCGACCUGUUGACAUGUCUUCUUCUUCCCAGCCCGUCAGCGAAAAGACUGCUCGGAGUGCAUCCCCUAAAAGUGGAGAUUCUGAAUCUCGAGAUGCUCCCUCGAGGCUAAAGCCUGCUCUUGUCCCUCAAGUCAAAUCGCUUUCAGGUUUGGUGAUUUACACAUAUUUAAACUUUUUGUCUUUAUUAAAAUUCCAAUUUUUACAACUCUUCCUUCUUCGCAGCUAUGGAGAAAGAGGGCAGCGUCUUCCGAUGCUUCAAGACCCGAUUGGAUUCGAUCCUGCCAGACUUCGACAAAUGGCGCCCUGCGAUUCGUGAACGCUAUUUGCUUCACGCGCAUCACUCAUCUCGGGUUAGUUCCGUUUCUUCUUUUUUUUUUUUAUUGCAUUGCCAUUCCGCGAACUAACUCGCCAUCCCGGGUUCAUGUAUAAUGCCAGGCUCAUAGCGAACUUAACGACAUGAUCGAACAUUACGAAGGGUUGGUCAUUGGACGGGAGAAGGAGGUUGACAUGUGGAAAAAGAAACUCUCUGCCCUUGAGGCUGAACUCAGUUCUUCUGUCGGCUCCAAGCACGAUCUGGAGGACAAGGUCGACAGUUUAACAUCAGAGCUUGCGCAGAUAAAGGGGGAGCUGCAGGGUCAGUACGACCAGAACUUCAAGCUCCAGGAAGAGUUUUCUGGUGUUCAGGGUAGGCUUCAAGAAUCCGAAUCAACCGCCGAUACCCUGAACAAUCAAAUCAUCGAGCUUGACGCGAAGUACAAGCGCUAGCCAAGUUGCGUGAUUCUGAGUUGGCAAGGUCGGCAUCGAAGGCCAGAAAGGAGGUUAAGAGACGCGGGAUGGAGUUGAUCCAAGGGGCCAUUCGCUUCAUGCAAACUGAGAAGGCUAGGUCGGACUUGGAGUCAGACAUCAAAGAGCAUGAAAGCAACCUGAUUCUGCUGGAUCAAACCCAUGAAGCAGAUUUCUCUGAGGAGCAAGAGAGGACUGAGCUGUCAGCUAGUCUUUCUGAGAAACGGAGUCGCUUGGCAGCUCUUCCCACUUCGACCUUCAACCCGCUUGACUUCGAGGAAUUCUUUACUGAAUCACCUCCUAUAAGUGAAUCGGGUUUAGACUGGGCAGGUAACACUUGGCUCCUGAGGCUUACCUUUUCUUACCUUGUACCUUUGAUUGACUGGAAUUAUUAUUUCCAGGUUCAAGUGAGACGGAAGGCAUUGUCCCGCCCGUAGCUCCUAUGGUACCGGAGGUCACUUCGGAGGUUGGUCGUACCGCGGAGGGUGGUCAGGGAGCUUCAUCUGAUCAAGCACCAGUCAAGGAGGUGAAUGAAACUCUGGUUGCUGAGCCGGAAUCUGAGGUGGAGAUCACUCCGUAGUGGCUGUGUCCACUUUAAAUUGGGGAUUGUCCCUUUUAUUUUAAGACUUAAUUUCGAACUUAUUUUUGGCCUAAGGAGGCUUUAUUGUUUCUUUUGAACAAGAUAUUUGCCUGAGAAGGCUUUUAAACCUUUCUAGGUUGUGACCCAAGGGGGUUUGGUUAAAAUUAUAUGCGGGUUUGCAAAGUCCGCUUUUAACCUUUUGUGGCCAUGUGGUUAUGCUUUUGAGAUUUUUAGGCUGAUCAGACCUUUCUCUUUAGAAUGCGAGAACUGAGCUCGGCUUAAAGCGAGUUCCCCACUUCGGGUUUAGUCAACUCGAUAAACUUACUAGGCUUGGGCCUUAGAAACUUUUGUAGUUAAUGCGACGGUUGCGCUUUCCCUUCUUAUAAGUAAGGAAAACGGCUCGUCUUUAAUGCAAAAAAUGCUUUUUCUCGAUUUCCAAAAAUGGUUUAAACCACUCGGACACACUACCAUUAUUGGGUUUAUGGUUCCAAGACAAACCCUAAAUCAUUAUAAAUAAAGGCUUACCUACUUCUAAGCUUUAUUUACACAUGACUUUAGAAUCUUACUUGAGGAAUAUUUCGAGAAUGGAAAACGAAGGAGUAGCUCCCAUCGCCCCCGGCAGCCCACUUUUCUUGUCCGGCGACGGAUUUGAACCGGCCGGCGUGCUCUUUCCCCACGCCGUCUUUCACUUCCCUUCAAAGGAGAAGAAAGAGGCUUGCGACUUCAUUGACAAGGUAAAUAUUUAAAGUUUUUGACUGAAAACUUUUUGCUUCAUCUUAUUCACUCAUCUUUAUGCUAGGUCGCCGACAAGCACCGUCGCUUGUGUGAAGAGAGGCAGCGGCUGGGCCUCAAAAGGCAAACACUCGAGGCUCGCAUCGCUCGGGUGGAGAGGAAGAUACGGGCCUUGGAAAGUGAUCCCUUCCAAUGGGAAUGGCGGAACUUCGACUCCAUCGCUGAGAUCCCGAAGAUGCUUCGGAUGUAUCUCCGUGCUAAAGGAGUCUCAGGUCCCGUGAACGUCCCUGUCUGCGCCGUUCCAUCUGACAGUGAAGAGGAAGACGAUUUGGAGGAGGAGGCCAGCAACUGUCGGAAACGUGUUCGGGAUCGUUCCGAAGUGGAUGCCAAGAACAAGGCGUCCACUUCGAAGACUAAACCGGCGAUGAAGGAGCCUGUUCCUGAGCCUCUCCCAUAAAUGUUCUUUAACUUCUCCACUUAUUUUAAACUCGUAAUGGGCUUCGGCCCUUUUUUAUUUAUGGAAAUAUUUGCAACUUUCCUUUAUUUUCAAAUAUUCUCAGAGAUGCGCCUUUUAAUGCAGGAUCUGUUCGAAGGCAUAAAUCUCUCCGCGAAUCACUCCAUUCUUUGGAUAGAAUCCGCAGCUUGCUAAGGAUAUGGGGUUCCUACAAAUUAUAGUUUCAAUUUCCCUUUACUCCUCACCAUUCUUUUUAGCAGGUAUGGAGUUCAAUCUUCGCUGUUCAGAAUCUAUGCCUGACUUCUCCAGAAUCGGAAUGAUGAGCGAAGAUGUUCCAAAUGAGCCAAACAGGCAGCCUCCUCCACUUCGCGGCUUCUUGAGAUCUCAGAUCCGAGCCCCAUGUGCUUUGAUCAGGGAUCUCUCAAUCAGAAACCAAGGAACAGCGACGGCGUUCAUAGAGACACUCGAGCUUCAACACCGGAAGCUUAUGUCGGAAAAGAGGAGACUUCGGAAAAGGAUUAACCGGAUGCAACGCAGGCUUACAACGGUGUCAAGAGAUCUUCACAUCCUUGAAUCUCACCCCGGAGAGUGGAUUGAGCUUGGAAUUUCAGACUUUGCUCGAAUUCCAGACUGUAUGAUGCCAAUCCUCGAUCUUGCUGGUCAAGGAGUUGAAGUGUGCUGCUCGUCAACAAGAUUUCCAUAGUCCGAAGUGUACGAUGAGGGACAUUCCGUCUUCUAAAUAACGCUUUAUUUCCAAUUCCUUGUAUGUUCGCUUAGCCGAACCUUCUAUUUGCUUCACUUGUUCGCACAGUCGAACAUUUCUCCUUUAAUAAAGAAAUAAAACAAAUUUUUAUUAAUAGCUGAACUCGUUUUCGAGCUGCCUACGUACCCAUCUCGGGAUCAAGCCACACCGUAGUUCAUGUACAUAAACAAUGCAUGUAGCUUUAAACAUAAAAUUUCUUUAGGUUGAUCACAUUCCAAGGUCGCUUGACUGGAUUGUCUUCUAAGUCUUUCAACCUAUAAACACCGUUCCGAACCACUUCGGUAAUAAUGUAAGGUCCUUCCCAAUUAAUACCGAGUUUACCGGCACCUUCUUCUUUUCUGUUGUCAAAGACGCGCCUUAAUACAUAAUCUCCCACGAAGAAAGGCCUACUUUUAACCUUAGAAUUGUAAUACCGGGCUGCUGCCUGCUGGUAAUUCUGGAUCCGAAUUAGAGCUUGAUCGCGCCUUUCAUUUAUGGUAUCCAGUGAAUCAUUAAGCAUUGCUGAAUUUUCUUCCUCAUUUAACGGUGCUUCUGUUCGACGAAGUCCGGGCACAUUGAGUUCAGCUGGUACUACCGCCUCCAUGCCAUAAACCAAAGAGAAUGGAGUUUCUCCUGUAGGUCGCCUAGGGGUUGUACGAUAGGCCCACAGGACGGGUUGGAGUUCUUCAUACCAUCCUCCCUUUAGAUGAUUUAAGCGUUUCUUGAGAUUGCUUAAUAUUGUUUUGUUCGCAGCUUCAGCUUGUCCGCUCCCUUGCGGAUAUCGUGGAGUAGAAUAACUAACUUUGAUUCCCCAGUCCGCACAAAAGGCAUCAAACUCGUGUGAAAUGAAUUGUGGCCCAUUAUCAGUGACUAUUUCGUAUGGAACUCCAUGUCGACAUACAAUGUUUUUCCAAAUAAAGGUCUUCACCGUCGAAUCCUUGAUACCGACAUACGCCUCAGCUUCAAUCCAUUUUGAAAAGUAGUCCGUAAGGACUAAAAGGUACUGUACACCUCGAGUUGACUUGUGCAAUGGCCCAAUGAUGUCCAUUGACCACCUCAUAAACGGAUAUGGGGCGGAAAUGGAGGAGAAUAAUUCCGACGGUUGAUGGAUCAAUGGUGCAUGGAGUUGGCAGCGCUUGCAUCUUUGGGCGAAUUUAACACAAUCUGUGAUCAUAGUGGGCCAAAAAUACCCCAUUCUUUUAACUUUAAAAGCCAUAGCUCUUCCUGAUGAAUGACUCCCACAUAAUCCUUCAUGCACUUCGCUCAUGACGAUUUCGACUUCGGGCCCAAAAAUGCAUAAUAGGUAAGGGUCACUGACACCUCGUCUAUAUAACGCAUCCUUCGACAUACAAAAUUUCGCGCUAACGACUUUCAUUUUCCUGGCCUGCCAUUUAUUCUUUGGGAGCUCACCCGUCAUGAUGUAGUGCUUUAUUGGCUCCCUCCAGUCAGCCCCCCAGUCUUUAGCCGGAAUUUGGCCAACUUUGUGAAAUAUUCGUGGCUCUGGUUCGGGAUGCUCGUUUGGUUCAAGAAUAUCCUCCUCGAUUAAUGGCUCGGUUUCUAACAUUUUUUCUGGAACCACUUUUUCAGCUAAGACAACGGGUUCCUUGUUAGAUGCAUUUGAUCCCCUUGACUUCCUGCGUUUGUUGGGUGGCGGCUCGAUCUCUGGUUCGCCACGGUCGCGUGCCGCUGCUCGAGACCUUGUAACGACGAGGGUUUCCUUGCUGUCUUGAAUACUUCGCUCCGAGAUGCAUUCUACUGGAAUAACUCUCUUUAACUCAGGAUCUGACGUUGACGCCAAUGCGGCAAGUGCAUCCGCAGUUGUAUUCUCUCCCCGAGGUAUGCGGAUUAUUUCAAAUUUCGAGAAAUUUUUAGAUAGAUCCUUCACCACUUUGAGGUACGCUUCCAUUCUUGAAUCUUUGGCCUCAUAGUCUCCAUUAAAUUGGUUAACUACUAAUUGCGAAUCGCAAUAAGCCAUAAUUUCCUUAGCUCCAACUCCUUGUGCUAGUCGAAGUCUGGCAAUAAGGGCUUCGUAUUCUGCCUCGUUGUUGGAGGCAUUGAAUAACAAUCGGAAUGAUUGUUCUAGAAUUUCUGAUGUUGGAGAUUCCAACUUGAUUCCCACUCCGGAUCCUUGUUUUGUUGAAGACCCGUCCACGUGUAAUUUCCAAGUUUGGUUCUCCGAUUGCUCUGUCGUUCCAGGUAUUGGUAGUUCGGUUAGGAAGUCUGCUAAGACCUGAGCCUUCAUACUGAUCCGGCUUUUGAACUCUAUGUCGUACUCGCUUAAUUCCACCGCCCAUUUCGCCAAACGUCCGGACUGACUUGGACUAUGAAGUAUUGUUCUGAGUGGUUGGUUAGUUAAUACUUCGACCGGAUGGGACUGAAAAUACAGACGCAGCUUCCGAGCUGAAGUUACCACCGCGAGUGCAAGCUUUUCCAUCAUUGUGUAUCUGGUUUCUGGAUCCGUCAUUGACUUGCUCACGUAGUAAAUUGGCUUCUGUUCCCCACGGUCUUCCCGAACCAAGACUCCACUAACCGCGUGGUCUGAAACUGAUACGUACAAGUAAAGUUUUUCAUCCACUUCUGGUUUGGACAGUAUAGGUGGAGUGGUUAAGUAUGCCUUAAGCUGCCCAAAAGCUUCUUCACACUUCUCAUCCCAAAGGAAUCCUUUGUUCCCUUUUAGAAUUUGGUAGAAGGGUAACGAUUUAUCUGUUGAUCUUGAGACAAAACGAUUCAAAGCCGCAAUCCGCCCCGUCAACCGUUGUACUUCUUUGAAGUUUCUUGGAGACGGCAUAUUUAGAAAGGCGUUAAUUUGGUUUGGAUUGGCUUCAAUCCCUCUUUCUGUCACGAUAUAGCCAAGAAAUUCUCCGGAUGGGACUCCAAAUGUGUACUUCGCCGGGUUCAGCUUCAUUUGAUAUUUAUUGAGAAUAUCAAAACAUUCCUCUAAAUGCUUAACGUGAUCCUCUUUCUUUAAUGACUUAACCAACAUAUCAUCUAUGUAAACUUCCAUUGUUUUUCUGAGGUGAUUGUGAAACAUUUUGUUCACCAACCGUUGGUAAGUUGCUCCUGCAUUUUUCAAACCAAAAGGCAUUACCUUGUAACAGUAGAUACCUCUAUCUGUGAUAAAUGACGUCUUUUCUUGAUCAUCGGGGUUCAUCAUUAUCUGAUUAUAACCCGAGAAGGCGUCCAUGAACGUUAACAGCUCAUUUCCAGCGGUGGACUCUACAAGUCGAUCUAUAUGCGGGGCGGGAAACUAUCUUUGGGACAUGCUUUAUUCAGGUCUGUAAAAUCGAUGCAAACCCUAUCUUUCCCGUUCUUUUUCUUGACAACGACAGUGUUUGCUACCCACUCCGGAUAUUGCACUUCUCUUAUGGACCCUAUCUUCAAAAGUUUAUCCACUUCGUCGUUUAUUAUUUUUGCCCGCUCCACUCCAAGCUUUCUUCUUUUUUGUUUCACCGGUUUGAAGCUUGGAUCCACGUUUAGUUCAUGACAAAUUAUACUCGGAUUUAUGCCAGGCAUGUCCGCUGCUGACCAUGCAAAUGAUGCUUUAUUUUUCCUUAAGAGUUCGAUCAAAGCUUCUUUUAUUUGGCCAGUCAACGUUGCUCCAAUUCGAAUUUUCCGAUCUGGUUUGUCUUCUUCCAAUACCGCUUCUACUACCACAUCCUCUUUUUCCUGCCCACUAGGAAAUUUUUGCCUUAGUCCUUCUUUUGCGGGCUUUGUUAAUUGCUAUUGGAUCUUCAAACGGUAGCUAGCUAAGUAACACGUCCGUGAAGCUUCUUGAUCUCCCUGAAUUGUUUCCACCCCAUUUGAUGUUGGAAAUUUGAUACAUUGAUGGUAUGUAGAGGGGACUGCUUUCAUCCGAUAAAUCCAGGGAGUCCCGAGGAUGAUGUUGUAAGCUGCGGGCUUAUCGAAGACAACGAAGUCCACGAUCUUCGAUACCUUCUUGGCAAGGACCGGUAACUUGAUUGUUCCGAGAAACAUGGCUGACUCGCUUGUGAACGCAACUAACGGAGAUGGGGGUCCUACUAUGUCUCCUCGGCUGAUUCCCAUUUUUUCUAGAGUACUUAAAAAGAUCAAAUCGACCGAACUGCCUGUAUCUAUAAGGAUCCUCGAUACUUCGAAGUUAGCGACAUCAAGAGUAAUGACUAGAGCAUCAUCAUGCGGUCUUUCGAGAUGCCGCGUUUCUUCUUCGUUAAAUGAUAUUAAGGCACCUUGAAAAUCGAUUUCUUCACUCAAGCUUGCUUUGAGUAAGACAUUUCGCCUAUGCUUUUUGAUGGAACUUAUUGAAUCUCCGCAAAAUCUGGAACCUCCUAGAAUCACAUUGAUCUUACCCUUCGAACUCCUUGGUUCUUCCUCGUUGGAUAACCUUGGUCUUUUGGAAUCUUGAUCUUUGGAGUUUUCCUUUGCUUCGUGGUAUUCCUUCACAAAAUCUUUUAUAUCGAAUUUAGAAAGAUCGCCACUAGCCCAAAGCUCUGCGAGGUGCUUUUUAAGAACGCUGCAAUCCUUGGUUAAAUGUCCGGUUACUUUAUGAAUGUCACAAUAUAGACUUUCAUCACGGACCCAAGUGUUUGAUCUUCCUUUCCCUUGGAAUUGCUUUCCGACGGUAUUGUUGAAGGGUUGUGACCCAAAUUUUCUUGGUCCUUUGCUCUCCCUAGGCUCGAACUUCUUGGUAGGGAUGGUGAUCGCCGGCUUUUCUUGCUUAUUUCUUUUGGCAAAACUUUCUUUUUCGUCUUCUACCUCCAUCCAGUUGUUCGCGCGGAAGAGUGCAUCCUGAAUUGUGUCCGGUUUGUGAAGUAUUAAGUCUUCUUUAAACCUUGAAUCAUGUCGCAGUCCUUUUCGUAGGGCAGAUAAAGCUGAUUGCUGCGAGAUUCUUGGGAGCUUUGACAGCACUCCUUUGAAUUUGGUGAUGAAAACUCGAAGUGACUCAUUAGAUCCUUGCGAUAAGUUCCAAAGAUCGGCAUCUGAAACGCUUUUAUCCAUAAGGAUGGAGUAUUGCUUUAAGAAUACGGCUGAUAGUUCGUCGAAAUUGCUGAUCGAACCCGGCUCUAAUUGGGUGAACCACAUUAGAGCUUGGCCACAUAGAUUCUCCGAAAACAGCUUGCAAUAGCCUGCAUCCUCAUCAGCUUCAUCCAAUUCGACUCUUCCAGCAGCGAUCAGAAAAGCUGCGAGAUAGCUUUUUGGAUCCUCCAAUCCGCUGUAAGGGUCCAAUUUGAGUUUCCGGGAAUCUUUGAUCCUCAAACUCGCAAUUCGCGAGAUGAAAGGUGUUCGCCUAGCUUCUUCAAUGACUCGAUUGAUGUCUGGCUCUGAACUUGUAGCUUGAUGAAAUUUUGAUUUCAUUUCUUUUAAUUCCUGGCUAACCUUCCUCAUGGUCUCGAACUGGUCGAGGUUCUCCUGCUCGUACUGAGCUGCAAGUUGUUCUUCAUCCCCGAGCUGCGUCUCUUCUUCCAACGUCUGAGCUACAUUAUUAGUAGCACCGGGAGUUGUUUGUCCGCUGGUUUCAUUACGUGCAGCGGAACUUGGCGAGUUGAAUAUCCCUCUUCGGAUUCCCACCGGGUUUCCUGCACUUAAAGAGCGAACACGAGUUUGUAUAGUAUUGACGUUUUGACUAAGAGAUACCUGGGAUGUUUGCAACGUAUCGACGGCCUUUUCCACGUCCGAGAACUUUUGUGAUAUGUCCGCCAUGGUUUGCUGCAUAGCUUUGAGGGUUUCGGCCAAUGAUGUCUCAGCAGCGUCUCCUCCGGACAUUGUUGUUUAUCUCGGAAGUGUGAUAAAGAAAAAAUCUGACCACUCAAGAACCUAAUGUCCCCACAGACGGCGCCAAAAUGUGGAUGUCGGAUUCACACACUCAAGUAUUUUGUUAAGUGGGAAAGAUUAUUCUUGAGGGACAAAAAUGAAUAUGUAAAAACUUAUAAAUUGAUACGAAAAUUGCUAUAGUAUUUCUCUCUUGAGAGGAAGAUCCCCCUUACAUGACCAUUGGCCUCUAUAUUUAUACAUAGAUAAACGAUAUUAAAAUGAGUAAUUAAGUACAAUUAUUCCUUCUUAAAUGUGUCCGUUUUGAUUCUUCGACUUUAAUGCUCAACGUUUGAAUUUGAGUUGACUCUGAUCUUCAUGGGCCUCGCCUCUUUUGGCCCAAGUGUCCUUGAACCGACUUACCCGUGUCUUCUACACCGAACUCGUGUCACAGUGCAGUCACUUCGGAUUCUCGAAAUGGUGACAACCACUUCGACCGUCCCUUCGGCUCACGGGUCCAAUGGGCUUCAUCUUUUAUGGGCCAUUAUCUUGAUUACGUGGCAAUCUUUGGUUGGUCUCGUACUUCUGGUGCGGGAUCCGACACCAACAGUCUCUACAAAAUCUUUCCUUAUCUAUUUAAGUAAAGAUUCUGAAAUCAAAUAUGUUCUCAACAAUUUACCAAAAAUUUCUACACAAUCUUUUUAAAAAUUUCGACUUAGUUAACUUCUGAUUUUUAUCUGCAAAAAAAAAAUUAAUUGUAACGAGUGAUGUAAAAAUCGGGAAUGUUGAUACUAUAAUUUCUUCUACUUCUUGUUUUUUCAUAUAAUAAAAAUUAUUUUUUAGGGAUAUUUUCUUAAAACCUCUAAACAAAACAAAGGGUUUCAAAAGAUAGCUUCUCUUUUGGCGGGUCGAUCCGCAAACCCGCAACUCUCUACGGGCUUAUCCGCAUGAACCUGCAACCCGUAGUGGAUAAAAAUAUUAUUCAAAAAAAAUAACAAAUGAUGUUUAAUUUUACGGGACGGGGUUAUAUGGUGCAACGGGUUUAGAUCAAUAUUAAUAUUAAAAAAUAUAUUAUGGAUGAAAUCCUAGAAUUAAAAAUCAAAAUUUAAUUAUAAAAUCAGAAACACUAAACAAAAUAAACAAUAUUAACAAAACAAAUACAACUUAAAAUUUUGCAAAAUAGUUUUUUAGUUAUAAAAAAAUUGAUCCGCGGUGUACCACGGGGUAAAAUCUAGAUUUAGAAGUUUAAGGAGAAUUUUUUUUUUUUAAAAUAGCUCUGCGGUGUACCGCAAGAAAAAUCUUUCUCCUAAACUGAGGCAAGAAGAAGAAUAAAGCCAAAUGUCGUUUAAGUGUAUAUAUAGAUAUACCAUUUAAACCUAAAACACAAUUAAUAUACUCAAAAUUAUUAAUAUAGAUAUAUGGAUGGUACAUUUAUAAAAUAGGUCAAAAUAUUAUAUUAUAUACUCUCUAUUAAUAAACAAAACUAAUUAUAUUUAGAUUUUUUAAAAAUAAUUAUAGCCCCGCGGUGUAUCGCGGGUUCAAAUCUAGUAGUUACUAAAUUCCAUGACCACAAACAAAAAAAGCCAACCAUAUAUUGUCCAUUGCAUGAAGAGGGGGCAGAGAAAGACUUACGAAGUAGAAGAAGAAAAUGAGUGAUGCAUGAGGAGUUGCUAAAGGUUGACGAGAUUGACACUGUAAGUUCGUCCCUUAAUUUUAAGAGUUGUCAAAGUCUCGAGUCAUGAUAAUCGGGAGGAGUGGUGGUCUCCUAUAAAUUAAGGUAAGGUCCUUCUUAUCUUCUUUUUUAAACUUGUCUUUGUCUUAAAUGAAAAAUGUAAUCCACCACACACAGAGUUUUCGUACGAUGACCCUAGUUAUACUAACUCAUUAGAAAGACUUUGAAGUCGUCUCCUACAAAACCAAAAAAAAAAAGUCCAAAUUUGUAUUUUUCUGGAACAAAGUGACAAGCGUGACUCUGUUUGUGAUAUGAAUCACUCGUUCGUCUUCAUGAUCUCUCUCAUUAUCUUCGUUUUGAUUUAGACAGAAUUCUGGAUUAAUUGGGUUUUAUUAUAUCUUCCUAGUUACGGUUUCACUGUUGUAGGUAAGCCAACUAACCAAGCCAGAGAGCAAGUUGCAAUAGCAGAAACUUAUAGACAAGCUCUAGUGAGCCAUUGAUUGUAGGAAUACCUGAAAUCUAAGUUCAUAGCAAAUACCUGAAAUUUUUUGUUAUUUUUUUUUUACCUGUUUAUGUCACCAAUGGAUCAACCACUCAUCUUAUAUUUCAUAAUACAAAAUUUAUGAGUUCAACUACGGAAUCUUUUAACUUAUGAUAAAUCUAAAAUAUAAAUUUGUACAUAUAAAAAUAAAAUUUGUUAAUAAAAUCAGAAAUGUCUAUACCUAAAAUUCAGUGCAAAAUUAAUUUAAGUUCCGGAAAAAAAAAAUCUAAAUUUGAAGUAUUUAUGAUUGUCGAUGUUUAAGACUCAUAAGACAAAGAUUGUUUUCGCAGGGGUCAAUAAUUAUUUCAUAUUGGAGUCACAUAUAAUGAAUAUUUUGAAUUUGUGGAGUCCCCUAUGACUCAGGCGAUUUCAAAAUAGCCUGAAAUCUUUUCCCCCGCGAUGUCUAAGUCCUAGUUAUUUUUAACAAGAAUAAAGUACUAGAAUAGUUUUUUUUUUGUUCUUUAUGUAGAUUGGUUUGGUAGGGGUCAAUAAUUAUUUCAUAAUGGAGUCACUAGCUAUACUUGUUAAUAAAGCACAUAUAAUGAAUAUUUAGUAUUUAUGGAGUCCCCUAUGAGUCACUCGUACCUCCGGCACUUAUGUAUGUUCCGUUCCGUUGACCGUGAGACACAUCCGUUGGCCUUUGUGCCUCAAUUCUAUCUAGAUCUGUUCCAGAACCAUCCAUCUCAAACCUAAAAUCAUCACAAAAAUUGUUUGAAAACACAGAUUUAAGUUACUGAAAUAUAACGUAAUGUACUCUUGCUUUAUUCAAUACUCAAUAGAGUAGAAGAGUAUUUAUACACAUACAGAUUGCCUAGUCUUGAUAGAAUCGUAUCUAAGUAACUAUAUCCUAAUAUGAAUCACUCGUUCGUCUUCAUGAUAUAUCUCUUUAUCUUCGUUUUGAUUUAGACAGAAUUCUGGAUUAAUUGGGUUUUAUUUUCUAUCUUCCUAGUUACGGUUUCAAUGUUGUAGGUAAGCCAACUAACCAAACCAGAGAGCAAGUUGAGAUAGCAGAAACUUAUAGACAAGCUCUAGUGAGCCAUUGAUUAUAGGAAAACUAGGAAUACCUGAAAUCUAACUUUAUCGCAAGUUUAUUAGUUUAUACUGUUGCUGUAUUUACAGGCAAAAAUAAUCUACGAUAGCUUGAAACUUUUUCUUUUCAUCAUGGACAUCAUACUUUAGUCAACGACUUUUAGCAAAACAUUAAUUAUUUUAUUAUAACUAGGAAAUCUACCCGUGCUUUACCGCACAGUAAAGUUAAUAGUUAGCAUUGGAAAAAGCACCAAACCAAAAUCUUAGACCAUCCCCAAACCUUUGGUGUCCAGACGAAUUCUGUUGCAACAGAUCUCCUUUCCCAAAGUGUUAUGUUUGACCACCAAAGAAUGAUUGUUAAGCAUUGCUUUGUACGUGUAUAAGGUUGAAUUAAAUUUCGAGAGAUAAGCAAACCCGUAAAAUCUCUUCUAAUUAGGCACUUUUCUGGAUUUCUACAACUACAUAUAAUUCUGAUAGAACUGUUAAAUUUGGGCUAAUUUUGGGCUUCCAACUAAAAACCAAUUGACAAUUAGUGGAUUGGCCCUAACCCUUUAUAUAUUAUUGAUUGUCCCAUCAAACUUCCGAUGUGGGACUUGGAUUGUAUCUCCAACGAGAACUAGGUAUGAAUUCUAUCAAGAUGCCACUCCUUGAAGAAACCGACAUAUCUGGUAGCUCUGUUGCUUCAAGAGAACAAAAGUCACAUUUGAUCAAUAUAUUGUCGAUGCUUUAUUCAUACGAACCAUUCCUUGCCAUGCCUUUAAAUAGGCUACAAACUCUUAGAAAUGGCGAAAAAAUACAUACCCUAUCACAAGCAAAAAAAUCUCAGAUAUGUCUUUAGACAUCAUAAAAGUCUUGAGAAAUUUACCAGCAAACUUGGGAGAAAGGUGCGACCGCUGUAGCAUGACGUGAGGGCCAAGGAUAAAUAUUGCCCAAAGGAAGAAUAAACCAGAUAUAAUGCUAAUGAUGACUAAAAGCCAUUUCACAUACCCAAUUGCAGUGAUCACGCCAAAAAGGAAUGCCAUGGGCAUGCAUAGUAAAGAAAAAAGUAGUAAGGGCAAGGCCACAUGUAAAGAUUCGCGGAUGAGUAGUGGAUCACCCAAUUGCGCCCAAAUAAGAGUACAUAUUGUUGCAACAGAACUUUGCAUUGCCAAGAUGUCAAAUAGCAGAAAAAUGAAGAGAGUCGGGUUUUUGGCCAAAGUUGCCCUGCCUAAGUUGGGUUUUUCGGCAUCGCUGUUAAACCCACCUGGUAUUGUAAAACCUGCAGCAAACGUCACUGUGGCUACAAGAGCCGCUACUAGUAGAAGAGUGCUUACGUAAUCUCUGUUAUUCUUAUGGUCUAUCGGUUCUGAUGGUAUUGUUAAUGACUCUACAGAUUCCAAACCACUUGAGUGAAUAGCGUAUAAUAAGAGCGCCAGUGUCCACCUCUGUAAUCCAAAAAAUGGGUUAAGCUAUAUAUCAUUUAUGAGGGAUCAACUGUGUUGUAUGAAACGGAAUUAGACAUACCUCAUGAAAGAUGUAGUUGGGUUUCACCUGUGACUCGGCAAUCUCCCUAGCGCUUAAGUCGCUUUUGUUUCGUAAAUUCAGUAUCUCGCUACUGUUAGCAAGAUGAGUAAUGGAGUCAAAGUGCCAGUUCAUGACGGCAAGGUGCAAAGGUGUAUUCCCGUCCACAUCUUGCCCAACACCCAAAUGUUUCGUAUCUUUAUUAUUCAUCAACCAAUCUGAAAUCCAAAAUUUACCAUUUUGUGCUGCAAUGUGGAGAACGUUCUGACCAAGUUUGUUAAGAAGGUAUUUUGAAUCUGGACAACGUUUUAUAAACUCUUCAACAAUUUUUUCAUGACCGUUUUCUGCAGCUGUAUGAAUUGGAAAGGAACCAUCUUGGUCGCAGACAUAAACACCCUUUGUUGAUCGGUCUAAGAGAUUGCAUACUUCUUCAUAAUACCCUUCAUAUGCUCCGACUGAUAGACAAGUCUUACCAUCUUUAUCUCGCUCGUCAAUAAGACUUGGAUAUUCAACAAGAAUAAAAUCAAAGACAUCUGUUCAAACAAUUGGGAACAACAAUUAGUAUACGUACUACAUAGGAAGAUUGUUAUCCUCUUGGAGAGGAAGUUGCCAUCUCAAACUGGUGUUACAUAAUUUGAACAGACUAAAUGCCUACUAGUUAAUGCGAAAAACAAACCUUUACUCUUGGCCAUCAAAGCAGCAUGUGCAAGAUAUUUUUUCCCUUGUAACUUUGAAUCUAAUUUAGACUUCUUCUCUUCAAGGUCCUCGUUGCCAGUAGUUUUCAAAAUCAAUUUCACAAGGGACACAUAUCCAAAAUAUACUGCCAUUAACAAGGAAGAUUCUCCCUUGUUAUUUCCAAGAAAAGGAGCAUCCUGGUUCGCGUUCACCAGACAUGUAGCCAUCUCGAAAUAGUGCCCUUUAAUGGCGUAGUGCAGAGCAGUAUUUCCAUUUGUGUCCUUGAGAACAUAUGGAUUCAGUCUCUCACUCUCUUCAGUACACAAUCUAGCUGAAGCAAAUGUUACCGUCUUAACAAAAGCCUCAAUAACAGGGGUAUGACCGCCAUGAGCCGCCACAUGAAGCGGUGUCUUACCUCUCGAGUUUGGCUCCAAGAGAAGGCGCGGACAUUCAGAGACAAUCUCCUUCACUAGUUCUAGAUGACCCCAUGUAGCAGCAAGAUGAAGAAUUGAAUCUCCUGUGUUGCUCUUGAGACGUGCCAUUGGCAUUCCUUGGCUUCUCAACUUCUCCAGACAUUCUUUCUUCCCAUCACUCAUUCCACUAAAAAUCUCCGGAGUCAUCUGGACAUCUUCACCAGGGAAAGCGAAAAAAUCCGACAAUCUAAGGUUAGUAAGAUACUCUGGCACAGAUUCGGUGUCUCCCGUAGGUGGAGUGGCGCCAUCUCCUCCGUUUUGAAAGGAAUCAUUUGAACGGGGUAUGUUCGUGGCGAGUAGCGGAGCUAAACAAAAAAUCAUAGUAUGUUAUUUAUUAGAUAUAUAGAAAGUUUUUGUACAAUCAUCUCUUACCCUAACUUUUACCACUUCUAACUAUUUAGUAUUUUUGCAUUGCUUAUCAAUUUUUUUUUUUUUUUUUUUUUACCGUUUUAUGUCACCAAUGGAAUCAACCACUCAUCCGUUUCAUGAUACAAAGUUUAUGAGUUCAACUAUGGAAUCUUAUAACUUAUAAAUCUAAAAUAU
rnacentral:lncRNA from 1 species